UACAGAGGCCUCGAGCGUUAGGCGGAAUCACUGGGCUUAAAGCGCGUGUAGGCGGAUCGUUAAGUGUCUUGUGAAAUCCCACGGCUCAACCGUGGAACUGCUGGGCAUACUGGCGAUCUUGGGCCACUCAGGGGCGACCGGAACAAGCGGUGGAGCGGUGAAAUGCGUAGAUAUCGCUUGGAACGCCAAAGGUGAAGACAGGUCGCUGGGGGGUGUGCCGAGCUGGAGACGCGAAAGCCAGGGGAGCAAACGGG
rnacentral:rRNA from 1 species